UACGUAGGGGGCAAGCGUUGUCCGGAAUCAUUGGGCGUAAAGAGCGUGUAGGCGGUUCGGUAAGUCGGCUGUGAAAGUCCAGGGCUCAACCCUGGGAUGCCGGUCGAUGCUGCCGGACUAGAGUUCGGAAGAGGCGAGUGGAAUUCCCGGUGUAGCGGUGAAAUGCGCAGAUAUCGGGAGGAACACCUAUGGCGAAGGCAGCUCGCUGGGACGUUACUGACGCUGAGACGCGAAAGCGUGGGGAGCAAACAGG
rnacentral:rRNA from 1 species